GGAGUCUGGGCCGUGUCUCAGUCCCAAUGUGGCCGUUCAUCCUCUCAGACCGGCUACCGAUCGUCGCCUUGGUAGGCCGUUACCCCACCAACCAGCUAAUCGGACGCAGGCCCAUCCCCCGGCGAUAGCUUAUAAAUAGAGGCCAUCUUUCAAAAUAUCACCAUGCGGUGCUAUCUUCGUAUCCGGUAUUAGCACCCCUUUCGGGGUGUUGUCCCAAUCCGGGGGGCAGGUUGCCUACGCGUUACUCACCCGUUCGCCACUAGGAUUCUGCCGAAACAAAAUCCCCGUUCGACUUGCAUGUGUUAGGCACGCCGCCAGCGUCGUCUCGAGCCAGGAUCAACUACU
rnacentral:rRNA from 1 species